AAGGAGAGCAACCAAUUGGAAAAAGAAUGGGAAACAUGUAGAUUCUCCUGCUUACCUUACUUUCCAGUCUCAAAGCUGGAAGCCAGCAUUCACUGUUCAGUUAUUUUCAAUGACAACAAGAUUCAAAUCUUCAGUUGUAAAGUUGUUAAAGGAAAGGAUUAGACUGAAAAGUUAAGAAGAACGGUAGAUGAAGAGUCCAAAGAGUUGAGGCUGGUCAUUUAACCAUUGUGUGGCCACGCCCUCUCCACAGGUGGAACAAGAUGAUCAGAAUAGAAAUGGCCAAUUCUGAUGUGUUUCUACAGUGUUUCACUGAUUACAUUUUUUAACAUCUGUAGCAAACCAUUUCCAUAAUUUUUUUUUUUUUUUUUAGAGACGAGGUCUCGCUCUGUCACCCAGGCUGGUAUGCAGCGGCAUGAUCAUAGCUCACUGCAGCCUCAAAUUCCUGGGCUCAAAUGAGCCUCCUGCCUUAGCCUCCUAAGUAGCUUGGACUACAGGUGUGUAGCACCACUCUCAGCUAAUUUAUUUCAUUUUAUUUUUUGUAGAGAUAAUGCCUCGCUAUAUUGGCCAGGAUGGUCUCAAACGUUCAUAGAAACUGGUUUUAGGUUCCUAGAGGCUGGCAGCAAUUCUCAGAGGUAACGCAAGCAGUCUUCCUGCCUUGGCCUCCCAGUGUGCUGGGAUUACAAGGUGUGAGCCACCACACCUCAUCAAUUUUUGUUUUAAUAUACUCUAAGGCUUAUCAUAGUUCCGAGAUCUUUUUUUUUUUCCUGAGAAAUCUAGAAAGAUGGAAGACAGUAUGGGUCUUUUGUGGAUUUUUUGUCCUAAGAAAUUUUCAUAAAUGUCUGCCAAGGAAAAGGAAAGAGAUCAAAGUGGUAAUUAAAUCUUUAGGAUGGACAUUUUUAGAAAAAUGCUUUAUAAACUUCCCCUCUCCCAACUCUGAGUGACUUAUUGUGUCAUACUGUAUUAACACAUAUUCAUGCUGUAAAUAUAGUAAGAAAAGACAAUAGUUCACAAUUUUGGUUUAGUUUUUGCCAUUAUUGAUUAUGAGCAGUAAUUCUUCCUUUUCUUUUUGAAGGUGAUAUGGAAAGCCCUGUGUUUGCAUUUCCCCUGCUCUUAAAACUAGAAACCCACAUUGAAAAGCUCUUCCUAUAUUCUUUUUCUUGGGACUUUGAAUGUUCGCAGUGUGGACACCAAUAUCAAAACAGGCAUAUGAAGAGUCUGGUCACCUUUACAAAUGUCAUCCCUGAGUGGCACCCACUUAAUGCUGCCCAUUUUGGUCCAUGUAACAAUUGCA
rnacentral:lncRNA from 1 species